rnacentral:rRNA from 1 species
CCUACGGGAGGUAGCAGUGAGGAAUAUUGGUCAAUGGGCGCGAGCCUGAACCAGCCAAGUAGCGUGAAGGAUGACUGCCCUACGGGUUGUAAACUUCUUUUAUAAAGGAAUAAAGUGAGGCACGUGUGCCUGUUUGUAUGUACUUUAUGAAUAAGGAUCGGCUAACUCCGUGCCAGCAGCCGCGGUAAUACGGAGGAUCCGAGCGUUAUCCGGAUUUAUUGGGGUUAAAGGGAGCGUAGAGGGGUUGUUAAGUCAGUUGUGAAAGUUUGCGGCUCAACCGGAGAAUUGCAAUUGAUACUGGAAGCCUUGAGUGCAGUUGAGGUAGGCGGAAUUCGUGGUGUAGCGGUGAAAUGCUUAGAUAUCACGAAGAACCCCGAUUGCGAAGGCAGCUUACU